GGGGUUCUUCUCUGCUCUUCUGGGUUAGGGUUAGGGUUCUCUGCUCUUCUGGGUUAGGGUUCUCUGCUCUUCUGGGUUAGGGUUAGGGUUCUCUGCUCUUCUGGGUUAGGGUUCUCUGCUCUUCUGGGUUAGGGUUAGAGUUCUCUGCUCUUCUGGGUUAGGGUUAGGGUUCUCUGCUCUUCUGGGUUAGGGUUAGGGUUCUCUGCUCUUCUGGGUUCUCUUCACAUCAGGAGGUCGGCAGAGGACCCGGAUGGGACGGUCCAGCCCGGAGCUGUUUAUAGGCCCCACAGGUCCUCAGGUUCCCAUCACUCUACCGUCUCCGUCGCUACGACGACGUUCCUCUGUGUUCCCAGUGGACCUUCCUCUUUAGGGGAGCCGUGAUACCAGGGGAUCUUAAAUGUUCUCUCGGGACCCAAAAAUACUAUUCCAGUGUUACCCAGGAAAACUGUGAGCACACUGGGAAGGCUGAUCCUCUCCCGCUCCAAGAUCUCCGAGGGUUAGGUGCUGGGAUUGGUUCAUGACCCACCUCCAAUGGGUCGUGUGGGACCCCAGUGGGUCAACACAGUCUACGGUCUGGGCUGAACCCAGUGGGUCAGUCUAGGGUCUGGGCUGAACCCAGUGAGUCAACACAGUCUACGGUCUGGGCUGAACCCAGUGGGUCAGUCUACGGUCUGGGCCGACCCAGUGGGUCAGUCUACGGUCUGGGCUGAACCCAGUGGGUCAGUCUACGGUCUGGGCUGAACCCAGUGGGUCAGUCUACGGUCUGGGCUGAACCCACUGGGUCAGUCUACGGUCUGGACUGAACCCAGUGGGUCAGUCUACGGUCUGGGCUGAACCCAGUGGGUCAGUCUAGGGUCUGGGCUGAACCCAGUGGGUCAACACAGUCUACGGUCUGGGCUGAACCCAGUGGGUCAACACAGUCUACGGUCUGGGCUGAACCCAGUGGGUCUGAACCCAUCUACGGUCUGGGCUGAACCCAGUGGGUCAACACAGUCUACGGUCUGGGCUGAACCCAGUGGGUCAACACAGUCUACGAUCUGGGCUGAACCCAGUGGCACAGUUUACGGUCUGGGCUGAACCCAGUGGGUCAGUCUACGGUCUGGGCUGAACCCAGUGGGUCAACACAGUCUACGGUCUGGGCUGAACCCAGUGGGUCAGUCUACGGUCUGGGCUGAACCCAGUGGGUCAGUCUACGGUCUGGGCUGAACCCAGUGGGUCAGUCUACGGUCUGGGCUGAACCCAGUGGGUCAGUUUACGGUCUGGGCUGAACCCAGUGGGUCAACACAUCUCUCUUGCAGCGAGUUCUUCCAUCUCUAGGAUGUCAGGUGUACUCCUCUGUGUAUCAACGGUGUUUUAGUCACUGGACUCUAAUAGUUUGGUCUUUGAUGCGUUCGCCCUACCUUAUUUAAUCCCUCCAAAGUGGCUGACAGUUUGACUGUCAUGAAUACUACUUCCCAAUAAUGUAUUUUGAGCAAUAAUCAAGACAAUGUAAUAUUUAAAUUAUUUCCUUGACAAUAUUGACAUGCUGACCACAUAAAUUAAACUUUUAUUUGCACUUACUUUGACAAUGGAGGACUGUAACCUUUUCAUCAGAUAACUUUUUCUAGCCAGACUUGCGUCUACUAAUAUAAUUCCUUUUUUUCAACGGUUUGACAACAUUUCUGAUGUUGUAUCAAAAGUGAUUAGAGUAAUAACUACCUUACUAACUAGAUUGCUAAAGUGAUAAGCGAAAAUAUCUUUCAUGUAAAGUGACUGCACCUCUCUCUUCAUUUUUAGGGGCAGUUCCAAGUUCUUCCGAUGCCAGUUCUCGUUAAUUUGGGGACUUCAGCAUCUUAAACAGUGACAUGCCUUUUUAACGCCAGUGGCUUUUAAAAUGCUCCCUUGAAAGCAAAUUUAUCACGAUAGUGUUCUGCAGUGGCUAUAAGACAGGUCCAAUUGAAAUUCAAGAUUUAUAUUUCUUCUGGGUGUAAAAGCUUUUGGACUUUUUAAAUAUCAAAUCGAAAGGUUUAUACAUUUGUGGAAUUCUCAUUGCACUGUGAAUGAAAACCCACUAACCCUACCCACUAACUCUUAGAGAGGUUCAUGUUAUUACUAUAACAAUAACCUAACUUAACCUUAACUUAAAACAUUGAUCAUUGGGUACCCUUAUCCUUCUAUAAAUGGAUGUCAACUGUGGUCAUUGAGGUGUACUUGUGUACAUCAGCAUUGUAUCAACUUUAGGUGGUACAUGUUGGAAUAAAUAAUACCUAUCGUAUGUAGCUCAGCAGCGUUCCCUGGUGCCUGCGGACUGCGGCGGUGGGCGGAGAUGGCACCGAGCCACGGAGCCGUCUCUCCUUUAAUGGCAUCGCUCCCCGGUCGGGACACAGCCUAAGUUAUUCCUUCUUCACGAGGAAUGUUUUAUCCGGAGCGCUCCUAUAAACUGCCGUCUUGUUAGGUUCUGUUGAGUUGCGCAUUACAAUACGGUGGUCCUGUUGAGGCAUCUGAGAACAGCAGUACUGGGGCGGAAAUGUAUUCCUCCAUCCAGAUAAUUGACCCUUAACAGAAGAGCUGGGAUUUUUAUUUUUUAUUUUUAAUAAUGUGCUCGGCUUGAGAAACGAAGGGGUCUAGGGUUUUGAUUGCCUUAUCCACCUAAAACAACAUGUUCUCCUUACUCUAUUGGAUUCUGGGGAGCGUUAAAUAAUGAUCCAGCAGCUGAGACUGCUGCAUGCAGAACGUCUCCCUGACGGCCCUGCUGGGAUCUGAUGUUACAGAGAGCUCACCAGCUCUCCUGCAUUUGUACAGAUGAUUCGUUUAAAAAAACGAGAAAUCUUUAUCUUCAGGGGCUUGCAUUGUUUUUCAGAGUUUAUUUAUAUAAACCUUUUUGGUUUGCAUUUUCUUUUCUAUUUUUUGUUCCUGUGGUUUGUAACUGUCAGCACUGUAGUGUACAUAAUAUUUUUUGUAAACAGGAAAAACUUAGUAAUGUGAUUUAUACUUUAAAUAUAUGAGCCUAGUUAAUAAAAGGUUCCAAUAUGGCUGCGUGUGUGUGCAUGUGUGUGUGUGUGUGUGGGGGGGGGGGUAUUGUAUAAGACUCUUAACCUCAAUGUCUUCCUGCCUCAUGUUGUGGUAUAACUUACUGAUAAUACAACCCAGUGGACUGUAGCAAACGUUGCUCCUCUAUCCGUCACACAUCUAGGUGGACACGCCCACCUGUGAGGUCAGAAGCUGCACAUUUUCAAAACGGCUUGCAAUGGCAAAUCACACUCACAUCUGGUGGUAUAAU
ensembl:lncRNA